AUAAGAACUACAUGUGCAUGGAUUGCCUGUUGGAUUGAUCAACAUCAUGUUUUAAGUAUUGAACCACACAAAGGAUUAAAUCUUCAUUACAAAAUCAUUCAUAACUCCAUUUAAAUCAAUGGAAACCAAAUAUGGAUAGUUUCAUGGAGUAACAACAUACUUUGGAUUUUGGACAUAAAAUACAAUACAAGUAGGUACAUUGCAGGCAUAGAUUGCAGGAUACAGUGAAUGAUACGUGUUUUAUACAAUGAAUCUAAGUACCUAUUUGUUUCAGGUUAAUAUCGAACUUCGAACUUAUAAAGUGUUAAGCAGCAAUUACAAUAAAAGUGCUUGCUGUGGAAUCACUGGUGCUGCUCAUUAUUGUCAACUGUUACUUAAAAAGGUUAUGCCAUGCAUUAAAUUAGGAAGAUUUGUGUUGGAUGAAUUACCCAGAUAACAAUUAAAACAACUUCUAUUUAUAAGAACAUUCGAUUGGUGGAAUCCAGAUUCUGUGAAUAUAUAUUAAGUAAUUGAUUGACAAGUACACAUUUCACAAGGUGGUGAGAAACAUGUAGAUCUGGCCUGCUUACAGUGGAGUGGACAGAACCAACGUGAGAGUGAACGUGUGAAUUUAUGGUGAACAUUAAACUAUUUUACUAUAAGUCUUAACGCAACAUAUUUUAUAUGAGUUACAUACAAAUGUCAAUCCGUGAGUACAUAAUGUAAAAACUAAAACAAUGUACUGUUAUCACAACAGUAACUGUAAUCUUUUAAAAUCCAGUAGUUUUAUUGCUUAUUGAUUUUCGUAAACAAAAUAUUUCAUGUUAUAUUUCAUCAAUAAAGUUUUAUUUUAUA